UAACUUAAUGGGAAUUUUAAUCUUACUGUAUUGCCACGUCCGCACCGUGAGAUGUUCAAGGACAAAAAGACAGAAAUGCCCUUAACGACCUCGCCCAAAAUCUGUGUCUCCGGCGGAAUUCUGAGAAGAGUAGUAGCGGCUACGCAGCGCUGCCGGCUCCAGAGGGAAGAGGAGGCACGGAUGGAUGUGUACGCACGAGCAAUUGCUUCCUCGACGGCACUCCCUUCCCUGUCAGAACAGGUUGUGUUGCCUCUGUUGGUGGUCAGUACCUCUGGUCUCGUUUGCAGUCAUUUUCUGUCUUCCCGAUGAGAUGGGGUGUCAUUGUACAGAAAAGAGUUAAGUCUUCCUCUUCUGCCAUGGAAAUAGACAGUUGUUCUGUUUGUUUCCUCGUAUAGAGACCGUUGCCAUGGCGGGUUUGGACUAAGAUAAGGAAUCUACAAAGCUGCAUCCUUUUUAAUCUGUUAUUCUUUCUUUAUACAGGAAGAGGAAUGUAUUUUCGUACAUGGAUUCUUGUGCAUUUCGUUUAGGUCCUCGAUGAUAAUGAACAAUCUUGGAAUUGUUAAUAUGCCGGUGGAGGACCAUGGAACUCCUUCCAAACAACCGGAUGAGCUUACUGUGAGAUUAGGGUUUAAGGUUUUUUGGGUAAACGGGUAUUAUGGACCGAUGUCCAGACUAAUCAUGGGAUCGGGAGUAAGCUAUGUGAUUGAAAUUACGAUCAUCUCCCUACCUUGGAACUCGAACUCGGGACGGGAUAGACUCUUUGAAUACCUAUUUCACCGGUUGAUCUACCCAAGUUGGAUAGGGUUAAGGUUGUUAUUAUCUUUUAUGCUGCUAGGUCCUAGAUCAAGUUGUUUGUCUUUGUUUUACCUUCGCUUUGAGUUCACUAUGAAACAGUGAGACGAUAACUAAGGUCAGGCUCAGAAACGCGAACUUGUUUAGCGGUUUUACCAUGCUCUUUACGAUCCAUUUAUUAGUUUUUGAAUCCAUAACACAACCGUAGAAAGGAAUUUUUGCUUGAUUGCUGUGUUUGCCUAGCUGUUGACAUUCUCAGUUCACGAUACAACAGCAGAAAAGGGAACCAAGAUCGGAUAACGAAAUGUCUCGAUGUUCCUAAAAGUCCUGUUGAAUGUGCUAGACCUCAGAGGUGUUCUUGAUAAUGCGAUUAUUAGCUUCUUUCUUAGUUCACAUGAAAUAUUGAUAUAUGUGAACCAAGACCAGAUACUGAGACGUUAUGAUUUCCUCAAAUCCGUCACGGCUUUUCUUUCUCUUGAUUCAGGUCAUUGAACAAGUUUUAAGAGCUAGGCUUGUUCACAGGAGUCUCCAUUUGAACCGAUGCUGUUCUUCAGUACUUACAUAUGUAGUAAUCGAGUUUAAGAUUUCAAUACCCAUCAAUUAUGAACAUCAUUUUCUUGGUUCUGAUUUCAUCCUGUGGUGGAACAAGUCAGCGGUCUCUAUAGAAUUUUGUGACCGCUGUCAUGUCUUACAACCUAUCCAUAGCUUUCUAACUGAUGUAGAGGAAUUUCUUUUUUCUGAUGCACUGAAAAAUAAUUUGAAGGGAGAUUUGGCGCACUGGUCGGGAUGUUGCCGUUGUUAUCUAGAGGUCAAAGGUUCGAGUUCUGGAAGCCUACGCCUUUAAGGUGGAGACCCGGAUCAUUGGCGACCGGCCAGAACGAUUGUUGAACCUAAGACAUUCUCGUAAGGCUUUGCUUGAUUUGGUUUUCUAGAAAGAUAAUGUAGAGCUCUCCUAUUAGGCUGGACCCAGAAACCCAUUUUAUAUGUAAGCCGUCAGUUUAGUU